GAGUGGCGCAAUUGGUAGCGCACCCGACUUGUAAUCGGAAGGUUGCGGGUUCAAGUCCCGUCUCU
rnacentral:tRNA from 2 species